GACGAACGCUGGCGGCGUGCUUAACACAUGCAAGUCGAACGGAAAGGCCCUGCUUUUGUGGGGUGCUCGAGUGGCGAACGGGUGAGUAACACGUGAGUAACCUGCCCUUGACUUUGGGAUAACUUCAGGAAAAUGGGGCUAAUACCGGAUAGGAGCUCCUGCUGCAUGGUGGGGGUUGGAAAGUUUCGGCGGUUGGGGAUGGACUCGCGGCUUAUCAGCUUGUUGGUGGGGUAGGGGCUUACCAAGGCUUUGAAGGGUAGGCGGCCUGAGAGGGUGACCGGCCACAAUGGGACUGAGAUACGGCCCAGACUCCUACGGGAGGCAGCAGUGGGGAAUAUUGCACAAUGGGCGGAAGCCUGAUGCAGCAACGCCGCGUGCGGGAUGACGGCCUUCGGGUUGUAAACCGCUUUCGCCUGUGACGAAGCGUGAGUGACGGUAAUGGGUAAAGAAGCACCGGCUAACCACGUG
rnacentral:rRNA from 1 species